GGUACGUGUGGCCAUUCAGAUUCAACUCUUAGCUCUCUCUUUACGAAGUCACCGGAGCGGCUGCCGGGAAUCGCUCACGGCGGUGCUCGUUCAUGAAUCUCCACAUUCAGCACACCGCCGGUGUCGAACUCUCGCCUUCUUUCUACUUCUAUGCUCUGUUUUCUCACACUCUCGAUAACCACUCUCAAUUCUACCGACGAAAAUAAACCCUAAACCUAAAGAGAAACAUUAAACGGCGGCGAGCAAUGUUAUGAAGCCACUUGCUUGGGGGAAACACUCAGGGACGUCUAAUCUAUGCACCGGUGACGAAAUGUCGAACUAAGAGCGAAGGAAUUGGACGUACUAACCUCGCGACGAAACUGAGCAACAUAUACCGAAAUCCAGACUCCGUGUUCUUGAUGUACACUGAAGGCGCGAAAUGAACGCGAUAAGCGGAGAACUUCUUCAGGGUUGGAUGAUGGAGCUUAUAGAUGCAAUUUGAUUGAAGGGAUUUUGGGCUAGCUGUAGCAGGGAUCUUGUUGAAUUUGCUAUGUUUAGGAUAUUUGGACGGGACUGUCAUGAAAGUCAAUUAUGGGAGGUUUGAAGUUAGAAUUUUUGAAUUCAAAAGCUGAAGGUUAGUUAUGGUUUAUACGAGUGAAGGUUAGGCUGUUAGUUUAAAUCUGUUAUUGUUAGGAAACUGUUAGGAAAUGGGUUUAAAGAAGUUUGUAAGGUUGAAUGGAGAUGAUUAUGAUGUUGUCGUGAAAGGUUUAAAAAAUGGUUUAGGUUUGAUUUAGGGACUGCUGUUUGGUAUGGUAUUCUGUAUGCUGAAUGGACUGGUUUUAUCACUUGAUAUUUUCCGACCCAAUUUCACAUUGCAGGAUCAUUUCAGUUCUGAAUUCUCUUGCAGGGCUGCAAUUUGGAAUAGAAGAAGUGCAGUUGGGUCAUUUGCUUUGUGGAUUUUCGAUUUGGUUUAGAUAGUUCAGCAAGUUUGGCUUAAGAUGUAAUGGCGGUUCAAGACGCAGGGUGUCUGUUUUUGGACUGUUUUAUUGAUGCUCUGAAUGCAUGUGUGUGCAGGUUGACCGAGCAUGGAACAGAUCUGAGUUGGCACUCGAUUGUUGUAGGAGCGGUUUCCGUAACAGCAACUUAUAGACACUGGAUCGUUGGGACAAGGCAAAUGGAAUUUGAUUUGAAUCAAGUUUUGUGGCUAUUUGGCUAUACUUUAGGAUAGGUGGUUUGUGGUUUGUAUCUGUAGUUUUUUUUUGUAUAUGUAGCAGAGGAUGGACAUGGUUUGUAAGUGGUAGUGAAUUGUACUUGAAAGUUUGAACUUGAAUUUGAAUGAAUGUAUUUGAACUAAUGAUGAACUUGAAUGGUAUUGUCUUGCAACUUUUGCACAAA